UUUCUAACCUGAACAUGUUGGGCACAAAGGAGCUUCGUGCAUCAUGCUGUUUAUCCUUGACCUUUCCUGCUGGGUUCAGAGAGCGUGCUGAAGGGAAUGGAGGGAAUGGCAUUUUCUGAUGACAGCUCUAGUACCUACCCUGUGGAGCUGUAUGAGGGCUAGCACUUUUGCUUUAAAACUGUGAAUCAGAGCUAAAGCCAAACCCCACAGCUGGAGUGCUUUUAAGACCUGGAACAAGUUAAGAUGCAUGUUUUCUAAUUUAUGAAAGAGGCAAAGAAUGACAGACAAAGAGGAUAAAGAGAUGAUAAAGAGAAACCACCUUUAUGUAAAUAUGAUACCUGAUUAGCUGAGAGGAAGACAUGAAAAAGGAUAUAAAAGAUGGAGACAGAGGGAAUCCAUGCCAGCACUGCUGGGGAGAAAGGAGACAGUGUCUAUCAAAAAUGCUCCCUUGCUGUUUGGGAAGAUAUGAGUAAACACAACAGCAGUCACAA